rfam:Candidatus Wildermuthbacteria bacterium RIFCSPHIGHO2_02_FTLL_49_9 rifcsphigho2_02_scaffold_6059, whole genome shotgun sequence.
GUGGGCGUAGCUCAAUUGGUAGAGCUCUAGGUUGUGGUCCUAGCGGUUGCGGGUUCAAGUCCCGUCGCUCACC